CACGUAGGGGGCAAGCGUUGUCCGGAUUUAUUGGGCGUAAAGAGCUCGUAGGCGGCUCAGUAAGUCAGGUGUGAAACCUCCAGGCUCAACCUGGAGACGCCACCUGAUACUGCUGUGGCUAGAGUCCGGUAGGGGAGCGUGGAAUUCCUGGUGUAGCGGUGAAAUGCGCAGAUAUCAGGAGGGAACACCGGUGGGCGAAGGCGGGUCUCUGGGCCGAAACUGACG
rnacentral:rRNA from 1 species